rnacentral:rRNA from 1 species
GAUGAACGCUGGCGGCGUGCUUAACACAUGCAAGUCGAACGGUUAAGGCGGGGCUUGCUCUGCUUGAUCAGUGGCGAACGUGUGAGUAGCACGUGAGCAAUCUGCCCCGUACUCGGGGAUAAGCGCUGAAAACGGCUUCUAAUACUUGAUACGAGCUGCGGAGGCAGCUUCAGCAUCUGAAAAGAAGGUCGGUGAUGGAUGAGCGCGCGGCCUAUCAGCUUGUUGGGUAGGGAACGGCUAACGAAGGCAUCGGCGGGUAGCCGGCCUGAGAGGGUGACCGGCCACACGGGGACUGAGAGACGGCCCAGACUCGUACGGGAGGCAGCAGGGGGGAAUAUUGCACAAUGGGCGAAAGUGUGAUGAAGAAACGCCGCGUGAGUGAAGACGGUCUUCGGGUUGUAAACCUCUUUUAGCAGGGAAGAAGCGAAAUUGACGGUACCUGCAGAAAAAGCGCCGGCUAACUACGUG